GACGAACGCUGGCGGCGUGCUUAACACAUGCAAGUCGAACGAUGAAGCUAGAGCUUGCUCUGGUGGAUUAGUGGCGAACGGGUGAGUAACACGUGAGUAACCUGCCCAUAAGACUGGGAUAACUCCGGGAAACCGGGGCUAAUACCGGAUAACAUUUUGAACCGCAUGGUUCGAAAUUGAAAGGCGGCUUCGGCUGUCACUUAUGGAUGGACCCGCGUCGCAUUAGCUAGUUGGUGAGGUAACGGCUCACCAAGGCAACGAUGCGUAGCCGACCUGAGAGGGUGAUCGGCCACACUGGGACUGAGACACGGCCCAGACUCCUACGGGAGGCAGCAGUAGGGAAUCUUCCGCAAUGGACGAAAGUCUGACGGAGCAACGCCGCGUGAGUGAUGAAGGCUUUCGGGUCGUAAAACUCUGUUGUUAGGGAAGAACAAGUGCUAGUUGAAUAAGCUGGCACCUUGACGGUACCUAACCAGAAAGCUACGGCUAACUACGUGCCAGCAGCCGCGGUAA
rnacentral:rRNA from 1 species